rnacentral:rRNA from 1 species
GACAGAGGGUGCAAACGUUGUUCGGAAUUACUGGGCGUAAAGCGCGUGUAGGCGGCAGGGCAAGUCGGAUGUGAAAGCCCACGGCUCAACCGUGGAAGUGCACCCGAAACUGCCUCGCUAGAGUCUCGGAGAGGAAGGUGGAAUGCUUGGUGUAGAGGUGAAAUUCGUAGAGAUCAGGAAGAACACCGGUGGCGAAAGCGUUCUGCUGGGCUGCGACUGACACUGAGGGACGAAAGCUAGGGGAGCGAAUGGG